rnacentral:sRNA from 2 species
UGUCGCUGCCCUCCUUGGGCGUUUCCUCCCUAGACUUGGGCCGUUCGCUUCGCGGACGGCCCCUUUCUUUUUGGGCC